CCCGGGCAAGUGCAGGUCCUGGCUCCCAGUCCAUCCCGGGAGGUUUACGCCCGGCGCGCGCCUGCCUGGGGCAGGGCUGCCCCCGGUCUAGGAAAGGCUUACGCUGUCUCUCCCGCGGGUUUAUUGAGCCUGUCUCUGGGAACUUAGUAAGUAAGGGAGGGGAGAGCUGUGGCCAGCGCCUGGAUGCUGUGAGCAUGUAACAGGGAAACCCAGUUUAGAUUGCAAUCAGAAAGCCUGUUUUGAAUGGCUUUGACAUUUGAGGGAGGGUGGGGGAAACUCCUCAUUCAACGGAGAUGGAAGGGAGGAAGAAAGGGAUCACGGAUGACCCCGAGUUGAGCACCGUUCUCUAAGAUAAAGAGGCUUGAGAAGUUUGGCAGGGAAGUGGUGAAGAUCAAGAGUUGCGUUUUGGACAUGUGAAUCCGAGGAGAAAUGACAUCUACAUAGAUGCAUAUGUGGGGCUGAAGCUCACCAAGAGUGACAAGGCUGGAGAUAGUAAUCAGUAUCGGAAUACUGAUGGUAUUUGAAGCCGUGGAAUUGGAUGGCAUUGCCUCCCAUAGAGCCAGAAAGUGAAAAAACCAACCUGCAGAGGCUGAGAAGAGGAAUCAGUAAAGGACAACAAGCAGAGCCGGCCAGAGAAGUACACAGAAACCUAGGGGUGGGGGAGGCCUCUGGGGCUGAGUGAAGAACUGUUUCAGGAGAUGGGGAUCACAGAAUCCUUCCACCCACGUCCUGCUGUCACCUAUCAGCAUACCUGCGGAAGACCCAUCCCACCCCGUGCUGUCCCCCCAGCUGCUCCCCUGCGACCAUUCUUCACCACCUCCAGGAGCCUCCUUUGUCCUACCUUUUCUGCCCAGUCUAUUGCCCCCUCCUUCCCUUCCCUCCUCAUCCAGCUGCAAUUCCGUGUUCCCCCAUGCCAGUACUGGUUUUGCUGUUACCCUCAACAUCCUUGCUCCUCGGUCCUUGUCACACUCGCCUGACAGAACCUGAGCCCAGAUGCACUCCACCUGCGUUCUCUGCACCUGCCCCUGCAGGAGGAGCGGCACAGCCGGGCAGCAUCAGCGGUAGGAACGCCAACGGCCCUCGGUCCUGCCUGGCUCUCCUCCAUUCCCUGCAAAUGGAAAAAUGCCUUUGCAAAAGGCAAAGACACGGCCAAGCCUUCUCCGCUCUCCUCAGCCUGCCUGCAGCCCUUCCCAGACACCUACCUGGCCUCUGCUUAUGGGGAAAAGCGAAGUCAUCAGACGGUAACGCAUGGUCCAGCCCACCAUUGCUGCCCCUCCGCCCUUCCUAGCCUCCGUGGAGCCAGAAAAAUGCCUGUCCUGCCCAAGAAAGUCUUCAGAUCCCAUUUCGCACUUUCUCGGAAAACUUAAGGUGUUGAUUAUCAUACCUCUCCUCACAACCUGGCUCCUAGAAAUGGUCUUUCACUUUGCUGCUCUCUUUCUUCUUAAAAACACAGCAACUGAGCUGAAGACAAACACAAAAAAACUUUCCUGAAACGCUUAUGUGUCUCCAGCUAUGACCCCCUUUCUCUCCUUCACAGCACACUUCUCCGAAGAGUUGUGAUGCUCUGCCCCCACUUCCCCAACCUUACCCCACUCCAGUUUGCCUUCGGCCCCAUCACUGGAAACAAAAGAGCGCUCAUGAAGGUCCCCAGGGAGCUCCAUGUCGCUAUGUUCAUGACAACUUUUCAGUCAUUUUAUGGGCUCCGUACCUUUUAAUCACUCCCUCAUUCUCAUGAAAUUUUGUUGAUAUUUAUGUUGGUCCUUACUUGAGUAAAUCUGUUCCUGUUGUACACGAGAUCCACGAGGGGAGGGCUGUGUGUCUGUACUGCGGUCUGUCCCUCGGCCCUUACAUCCAGUUGCCUACUUCUUCUCACCUCCACUAAGGUGCCUCAGAGCACUUGGAAACCAGCAUCUCUAAACCAACCCUCCUGACCUUCGCCACCAGGGUCCUCUCUCAGGGUCCCAUAUCCCUGUCAGUGGCACCUCCGCCCACACAAGUGCACAAAUCAAGAAGCUGGAGUCAUCCUGGACACUUCUCACCCUCUUACCAUCCCCCAUGCCAAAGGCCAAUAGACCAUCGAUAAGGAAAGUCUGGAGAUUGAGGAACCCCCAUGGUUCACUACUCCAACCUUCCCUACAGAAGAGCAUAUUUGGAACAAGAGCCCCACAAGAAUGUUGGCCAAGAGCAGGGAGGAAGUAGUGCAGUUGGGGGCGGGGAGGGGACGAGGUGCUCAGAAAAGACUUGCCUUCCUUCAAUGCUGGGCAUCUUAUCCCUCUUCCCAGAGAGUUAAAUUCAGUCAGCUAUGGCAGAGUUUUGUUCCCAACAGAGCCAGGCUUAAUUUUUGUGCACCUCACCUUGGGUCUGCAAGCAGCACUGAGAACUGCCUGGUGAUGGGUGAGAGGUCCCCGAACACAGUGGUCUUGACAGUGGCUGUGGCCCAGGAAAUGCAGAGCAUCCGGGAAGCCACUGCAGGCCACGCAGAAUCCAGAGGAUCUGGAACUACCUUGGCAAACCAAAUCUUUGCCUCUCCAUGGUCCAUUUCUUUCAGUCACAAACGUAUUUGUUUCUGUAUAGUUGAGCAUUAAAGACAUUGAAUGUUUGCCUCAUGCCCAUAUAGAAUUCCCUAUUCUUCCCAGAUUUAAAAAAUUAUCUUUUCCUUGGUAAACAUUAAGACUCUGAAACUAGCCCAUAAAAGUAGAUCAACAGUCAUUUCUAGAAUUUUGAGUUUGCAGAUAUUACCAGGACUCAAAUUCGUAUGUGCCUGAUACCAGCUUGGGAAUCACCAUAAAUGACAGACCAGAAUUAGAAUUAGGUGAGAAUAUUCUUUCCAUUGUAUCCCCAUCCAGUCUGAUAAUUCCUUCAUUUAUCAGAAGGUUCUUUCUGUGGGUUUCCUUUGUUACUUAGGCAGAUGUUUCCUUCCUCGUUUCAGUUAUUUCCGUUCAUAGUUCCUAUUUCUGCUCCUUCUUUAAACAUUAAAUUGACAAAAGAUUGCAAAGCUA